GAGCCGGGGACAGUGAAGAUGGAGAGGAGAUUGUGUCUAGGUAUUUAGAAGAUAGACUUUGUGGCACUUGGAGAGUGACUGGACGGGGAGCAUUAAGGGUAACCUUCCCAUGUCUGGACAAUGGGAGGAGUUGGAGCAGGUCUUUGGGAAAAUGAGGAAUUUGGUUUUGACUGUGUUGAGCUUAUAUUACCUAUGAGACACUUAGGAGGAGUCCUUUUAUCACUCUGUAAAGCCUCCGUGAGUGGUUGGAGGAACACGUGGAAACAGGAAGCGCAGGGGCGGGGGCUUCCUGAGUAGCAUGUGUAACGCAUGUUGCAGAAAAUGGCCUUGUUUCGGAUGCAGCCUAAGUUGAGUGUCCCCUGUGUUGUUUGUUCAUCUAGGAUUUACAUUUCCUCCCCAAAGGGUUUGGCUCUGUUGGUUUGUCAUCUUCAUUUUGGAACAAUGGCAUUGCUUAUAUCCAUACCAAGCACCCCUGGCCUCUCGUGUGUUUGGUAUAUUUCGUGUCAAGCUAAUAUUUGGUUGCCUUUGUCUAGUAGUUAUCCAAUUCCCGGGCCAAUCACGUGUACCUAGGUCAGUAAAGUUGCUUUUUCUUCGCAUGUGUGGUAUGAGUCAUAGCAAGUGAAACAAGGAAAAGAGUUUGGACUAUUUUGUCCUAAAGUUACUUGUUCCUAUGGCAGAGCCAGAUACCUACUUGAGGCUUCAUGCCUCCCCUCCCCCACUCCCCCCAUUGCCCUGGGAAAUUAAGUUGUUGCAAAGAACUGUACAGAGUGGAAAUUUGAGAGGGUGAGACAAGUUUUUUGAAGAGUCUGACCUGAUUUUAUGUCAUUAUGUUAAAUAUCAGUAAAACCAGAAAUAACUAAGAUUUUAGUUUAUGAAAAUAGCUUAUUAUAUUUCAAGGUUUAUGGGACAUAGGUCAAGGACUAGCUGCUAAUUAUUGGUAGAUGGGCUGUUUAUUUUAAACUUGUUCAAACUGUCAAUCUAAGCGUUCUUCACUAGUGUAAUGCCCCUUUAAAAAGCAUAUUGGAAAGAAAGUAAAACAACUGAGAAACAGUAGCAGUGGUGGUAUAAACAGGUAUAACCUGCAGUUUUGCUUUCUGCCACCAGAUGGUGCUUGUAUACUGACACAACAACGUACAGUCUGGAUACAUUCCCUUUGGUUCAUAUUCUAAGGCUGGUGGUUAAAUGAUAAAUGAGAGUUUAAACUGUAUGAAAUUGCUGAUAUUUGACUGUUUUUUAACCUAUAAAUAUGUCAGCUUCAUCUGGUUCAACAUAGUAGGCAAAAAUCAGCCAGAUACACCACUGAUAUUUGGAUGAAUGGGCUUUCUGCUUUCAGAAUUAUGUAACGGAAAUUUUAUACAGGUUGGUAGUAUUAGCUCUGAGAAAUUUGAAACAUUCUGAAUUUUUUUUUCUCCUUUGAUUUGGAGAGUCAGAAUAUUUUUAUUUUUUCUACCCUUUCUGAGGAUAUGAAAUUAAGUGUAAGGAUAACUGAUGUAAUUAAUAGUCAUUUGCUAAGUCUUAGGAAUGCCUUUUCGGACAACUUCCUAGAAAGUGAGAAACAGUAAUUGUAGUAAAUGUGUAACACGCCCCAUUGCAAGUCAGGUGGUUUCUAGUUCUUUGCUUUCAACAAAUCGCAAGAGGACCUGAUCAAGUUGUCAGUGGCCACAGCAUGAAAAUAACUUCUGACGGUAGAUGACAGUGGAAGUGGCGACACAGAAAAAACCUUUUACUUUUAGUAAAACUCAGCGGUGAUUUAUGUAUUAACGUGAA